rnacentral:lncRNA from 1 species
GUUAUUCUUAUAUUAAUUUGUUCUGUCUUCAGACUAUAUUUAUGCUUUCUUUCUUUGUUUUCCCACCAACUGGGGUUUGAGUUCUAAACAACAGGCAUAAAACCUCAGAUGGCAUGGAUACCACACUUCUAUAUUAUGAUCAAAUUUACUUAAUAUUUGCCCAAAGAAAGUACUUAAACAUUUGUACCAGAGUAUUCUGAGAGAUGAGAAAAAUCAUAUCUUUGGUCUUGCAGGGGAUAUGCUGAAUUUUAGUUUUUGCUAAGAAUACGUGAAAAAUGAAAUAUGUCUGGAGCAGUUAUCAUACUCCUGGAGCAAGCAUUAGAUGAUGAGAUAUCCAAUUAUGUUACAGUUGAUGGCGCCAUCUUGGAUUUAUUCGUUACCCCCACAUUUGUCAUGUUGGACUUGAAUUUUUGAAUGCCCAAGUGUCUUCAAUAAAAGAAGCAUUUUCUGUUGGAGUUCUGUGGUAGAAGUCUC